GUGAAUCAUCAAAUCUUUGAACGCAAAUUGCACUCUCUUCAGAGAGUAUGCCUGUUUGAGGGUCAGACUAAAAAAAAUCGAGGUAGUCGAUGUUUCGCGGUGACAUUCGUCGGAAAUGGGGGUAUCUUAAACCUUUGGGUUUUUUAAGUGGCUUAAAAUUUUCUUUACGAUUUCACGAACGUUUCUAAGAUUUUAUUUCUUAUACACGUUUAAGGUAUCGAUUUUUAUUAGACGUGGCCGUUGCAUCGGAUUGGGCAUAGAAAUAUUUCGUUAACUGAAUUGU
rnacentral:misc_RNA from 1 species